AUAAAAAAAGAAACUGUCUCUUUACCCAAGAGAUGUAAGGAGAAACACUCCUGAUGAGCCUGAAUUCAUCAAAGUCCCUGGCAUGUUGCUAUCUGUGAGCCCAUGGCAUGAGUGACCAUCUUCCAUUCUAAGAAACUUUUCAACCACAACACAAUUUAUCUGUACAUAUCAUACAAUUCACCUGUACAUAUACAAUUCAUCUAUACAAUAAUCUCUUUUAACUCACCUGAGACCUUUCACUCAUCCCACUUAGACUGUAACCCCACUGUCUUCCUGUAAAAGCCUUACAUGCUCAUCUUUCCACCAAGACAGAAAUCUGAGGAGCUGGUCCCUCUUUUAUUGUUUUUUUUCAGGGGUGGAGGAGGCAAACCCUGAAUCUACCUAGAUCUUUUUAUCAACUCUUAUAUCCCGAAAUUUGAUCCUUUGAAAGAUGGUAAGAAGCCAAUAAUUUUAAUCUUGGAAAUUGAAUGGUGUCCUCAUUUGUCAAAUCAGGGUCAAUUAGCUAAAAGUUAAAUAUUAUUACCAGACCAGAAUUGAGACAAGGUUUUAACUAUCAUUAUAUACCAAAGGAGAAACAGAAACAGCAGGCAAAUUUUUAGAAAUAUGCCCAAGAGCAGACUGGGUGUAUUUUGACAAUACCUAAGAACUACUUAGUUUCAUCCCACACUUAGGAAUGUGUGCAUCUUGCUUUAUGUUAAAUAGUACAUUUUUCAAUGUCAUUUGUACUGGCUGAGACUGGCCAGUUAUAGUGAUGUAUCUGGCAUGAGUCAUUUGGAGUUAGGCUCUAAUCAUUUGUAGAAGACAUCAUAUAUCAUUUAGUCACACUCCUAAUUGUCAAGGUCAGAUUGUUAAAGCAUUUUCUUUGGCCUUUUAUAUGUAUACUAUUAUUUUAGUAUCUGAAGGUUUUAUCCAUUUGUUCCAUGUAUUAUUCUUUCUGUUGUUGUUGUUGUUGUUUCGGUAGAGAACUUAGCAUAUAACACAUAGUUAAAGCAUAGAUGGUCAGCUUUGUGCCAUUUCACAAUAAUGUCACAGUUUACUGAAUAGCAAUAAAAUGACAAGCUAAAUUAAUUUUAUUGGCACCCAAUUUGCCACCCAACCACUAUUUUCCUUAAAAGUGUGAUGGCUGACAUUCACAUGUUGUUUUAUUUCAAUGUUGAUUACUGUUAUUAGCUCAUAGAUAACAAAUUACAUUUCACACACUAAUUCAUGGCUGUACAUGGUGUAGAAUGUCUGCAAAAGUGUUAAGGAGGCCACAAGUUCAAGGAUAUGGUAGGCAAAGAAGACAGCUCAUACAGUUGCAGAGAGUUAUUGGAGCUGAUUAGAUAUUAACAAGCAUGAUAACAUAAUAUUAUGGAAACACCUUUUACACUUAAAGAGAUUGGAACUUUUGCUGGACCUCAUAGCUGAUGAAGACCCCUUGAGGUCACUUAAGAUUGCAAGCCUUUGUGUAUUCACCCUGUUCCUUUAACCUGCUUUUAAGAGAAAAAUAUAAUGACAAACCAACAUUGAAUUGGAUUACACAUAUAAUCAAUGUUUGCUGCAUAAGAUAAUGCAUAAUUAUAACCUUGAUCUACCUGUUGUGGCCUCCCCAUCCCCUCUGUCUCCAUCUCUAGUGUAUCACCCACACAUUUUCCUCCAACCUUCCUUUCUACUCAUCCUGUUAUCUCAGCCCCUGAAUUCAGCAGAGAUUUUCGGGAAAUCAGUCAGCCAAGUCUGCCAGAGAAGCAAGGAGACAAGUAAAACAGAUGUUGGGUCCAGCUAGUCACAGGAUGUUCGGUCUGACACAGUGGGGAUCAGUCAUGACUCUUCAGAAGGCUACAGAUCGUUUGAGGGAUGGAAAUGGAGAAGAGACUGAGGAAAAGAAGGUCCAAUGACAGGCCCAAAGAGGGAUCCAGCUCAAGGCGAGGCCCCAAGAUCUGACACCAUUACCGAGGCAUUCAUAAAAAGGGACCUCUCAUGACUGCCCUCCAAAAGACCCGACGAGCUGCUGAAAGAGUCAGAUGCAGAUAUGUUCACCCAACCAAUGAACAGAAGCUUCUGACCCCUCAGAAGGCCCCAGGAAGUUUAGAGGUCUGGAGGGGAAGGUGGUGUGGGGUCA